AGUCCCUAUUCCCGCCCUGAAGGUGGCCAAAAGGCUGACUCCCUCCAAGCAGCCCGCCCGCGCCUCCAUCGCCCCCACCCACGUCCCACUCGCCAGCUGCGGACUGAACCCUCACCCUCAAGGGGGUGUAGGUAGGGAAAGAGUUUUGAGCAAGAUUGGGGGUAUCCCUUCAUCCGAAGAUUGUUUGGGAAAGGUUAGGAGCUCUAAAAUGUAUUGAAGCCAACUCUUAAGCGCAAAGUAAAAGAUAAUUUGCGUCCGUCUGCGAGGUAGGACUGAAGAUUCUAUAGAGUGGGCUUCCGAGGAGCAGGAGACACAGGGCGAGCAUGAGAACAUAGGUCUGGAAUGAGGUUCCACCGAGCGUCCGUAGUCUCCUUAGGCGACAUCUAUCGCUUCCUUUAGCACUUCGCAGGAGUCAACGCGGGGUUGGUUGCCCCCAACAGUGGAGCGUUUCCAUAAAGCCGAGCAGAUGAGCCUUCCCAGCCGCCUGCACUGCACCCUUCCCCGCCCCCAACUCCGUACUGGCACCCUGUGUGCCUGAAGGGCUGACACACGUUCUCCCAAAACCUUCAGAAGCGCUUUGCCUUGAAAGAGCUCUCCCUCGUGUGUGUGUGUGUGUGUGUGUGUGUGUGUGUGUGUGUGUGUGUGUGUGUGUGUUUAAACCAUCUCCAGGAUCCCUUAUCAUUUGCUUCCUCUCUCCUUUUUCUCUCUGUUUCUCCCUGUCUUUUUUCUGACGCUUAAGUUUCAGGAUCUUUUAGUUUUUUUCCAUCACAUACAUGUGUAGGUUUUCUGGUACAAACGCCCUGAAACAUCACUUGGGAGGUUAAGACAGGCCCGCGAGUAAAAGCUGGGGACGGAGUGGGUGGGCAGCCAGGUGCAUUACCAGCGCCUUUAUGCCUCUGCCUACACUUCCCGGCCUCCCCCCAUCCCCCCACCCCCCCACCCCACGCCUCACCGUCGCUCCCCGGCCCCACAACAUGAACUUGGAAGCAGAAUUUCAGGCCAAGAUGGAACCUCCCCGUCUCAGGAAGGCGAUUUCUGUUUAAUCCUUGGGAGGCUGCGCUGGCUGGGCCAGGCAGCACGCUCCUUUUCCGAUUAGGGAAAGGACUAAGCUGGGCCGGCAGUCUGCGACCCCUUCCCGGAACCCCAGCCGACUUCGGGGUAUACCUGAGCGCCUUCCGAUGGCUGCUCGCGGGGGUGUGAUCAUCGUCCCCGCAUCAGGCCCGCCAGGCAUCUGCGCGACUCGGGGGUAGGAGGGAGAUGCGUGGGUGGGAGGUGGGGGUCAAACCAAACACCGACAGGGCACACCUACGUUUAUGAUCCUUAAAUGAACUGCGAGGGAAAUUGUGUAAGUAUAAUUUAACUGAGAGAAAUUUAUUGCGAAAUACGCUUAGAGGACUGUGGUCUUUAACAGCCUCAGGGGUUCUUCGGCAAAGAGGUAACGGGGCUUGGAUUUACCACAACUCUGCGGCCACGUUUUCAAAUUUGGAAAAGCACAGAUGAGAAAAGAAGGUUCAGGCGAUUUAUGCGAGAAAGGGCCAAUUUGAACACUGGUAACUAGUGGGAGAAAUAAACUUAUAAGCCACAAACACAUCGGUUCGCAACCGAGCCCACAGCCCCGCGAGGCGCCCCUUCUUCCCAGCUCCCGGAGGAUAACUUCAUUGACUGGCAGGUCGGCGGCCACUUCUGGGAGGGCCACUGUUUACCGAAUGAGAACCUCUCAUGGCACAGUCCUUACAGCAGGGCUGCCCUGUCGCCCUUGCGCGUCCGGGUGCCGGGUCCCGGCGGUGUUCUGCAGCGCGAUCCGGUCCCCGUGCCCUGAGCCACCCAGAGCCCUGGGCCUGCCUGCACCCUGGGGCGCGCUGACUCCCUGGGUCGGGUGGGGGUCCCGGCAGGAUGCACUUCCAGCUGCGGGGUCCGCGGAGUUUGCUCGCACCUGGUUUGGCGCAGGGACGUAGGUUUGGGGGACUGUGUCCCCUGGGAAGAGCAAAAGGUGAAAAGGUCCCCUCUCCCACCAGUGUGCCCCAUCCCCGCCAGUUUUGACUGCGAUCCUAUUUUUCUCUUUGGGGGUCGCCUCAGCCUGUGCCGGAGGGAGUUGGGAGUUGGUCAGGCUUGGGCAGCGGUGGGUGGCAGCCCGGGAGCCGGAGCAGGAGCGCGAGGACCCGCGGACUGGGGCGCAGCGACGAUGGCGCACCGGCUUCUGUCUUCUGCUGCUUUGGGGCUGAGCAUCCGAGGGCGCCUUUCUCCCCAGCUGGACUCGGGGACGCCGGAUCACCCCGCCACCUGCCUCUUGGCCUAAUUCUGGAAGCUUCUCGCCUCCGUUCCUGGACGGCUCUUCCUCAGGGGCAGCAAUGAGCCCCGGGGUGCGCUCAUCUCCUCCGAGAUCAAUUGCUCUACGAUUCCUUUUAGGACUUGCAGGGGGGAGAGGUUGGGGACCCCGGCCCCAGAGUGGCUCCUGCGGCACGGCGGCCCACUCGGAGGGGUCGCAACAAGCGCGCAUUUGUGGCCAAGGUUGUGAUUUCAGGUGCGCUAAUGGGAUCAGACGUCCUGGGAGAAGCGUGAGGGGAUUGGUGCCGUUCCUUCUCCCGGCUUCCAGCGGCCGCCGGGUGGAAGUGGGGACACAGGAGGGCCGCGCUACGGGCGCCCAGCGCGGGCGCUCACACCUCUUGAGGAGGCGUGGAACCCAGCGCCCCAGGUGGGGGUAGGGCGCGGGGGUAUAGGUAGUGAGGGGUGACGCUGGGAGAGGACCGGGAGACGGAGGAAAGGAGACAGCCGGGGACACUACUGAGAGAGGGAGUAAGAGAGUGCGCUGCAGAACCGGGGACAGAGCGGCAGAACCGACCGAGAGCUGGAAUUGGAUUGCGUCCUGUCCCAGCACCAGGACACAGAUAAACAGCCUCCCAGCACUGGUACUCGCCAGAGAAGGGGAAACCCGCGUCCCGCGCUGCUGCUUUCUGCUUCGGAGAACCUUAUCUAGACUUUUGCAUAAUUGCGUGUUGGCUUUCCUAAAUAAUUCGGAAGAGCGAUUUCUGCUUCCACUUGUUCACAUAGGCAAACAAUCCCUGUGGGGAAAAUGUGUGUGUGUGUGUGUGUGUGUGCGCGCGCGCGCGCGCGCGUUCCGGUGACAAUUGAGGCCAGAGGCAAACACAUCCUCUUUCAAAAUGUCCCUUAGGUGAUCCCGUAAAUGACUGUCCUGCUCUAGGCAGUGGGAGUCAUCAUCCACUGGGUAGGGGGCUGUGAUUACUCUGCCUAGGGACCACUUUUCACAGCUCCUUCCCCACCGUAGAUAAGGGUGUUAAAUCAAGGCAUUUAGUUCUACUUUUCCAUUGCACAGAUAAGCAAGCUGAGACCCAGAUAGGUUAAGUGAAGUAUCCAAUUUCUUCUCUCCUUUUCUUUUCUGUAUGCCUCAAGAUGGUUUUAUACACACACACACACACACACAUACAUACACACACACACACACCCUGAACUACGAAAAACAUCACAACUACGGAAGAAACAUUUUUUACUCUUCUUAUUUCCUAAGAAGACCAAAAGUCAGAGCUUGUCUUCUGUCAGAAGCAGAUGGGUGUGUGAUGGCAGUGUGUGAGUGUGCAAGUGUGGGGGGGCUGGGCGUUGGCGCCAUCCUUCCUCCUUCCCUGCUCCAUCCCUGACUCCAUCACCGAGCCCCUUCAGGGAAACACAAGGCAGGAGGUUGUACCGCUAUGCAGAAGACCCCUCCAGGUAGGGAGCUUGAAGAAAUGAAACAGCAGGGAGAACCUGUAUUUGGUGGUGAAAGUGCUGGAAUCUUCUAGGCCUUGCUCAUCUCCAACCAGCUACUUCUCCAAAAUAAAGCAAAACAAAACAAAACAAAACAAGGCAAACAACAACCACCACAGGCCUUUUGCAUCAACUUCCUGUGACUAAGUGACCCUAAGCAGAGAACUGGCUCAGGUCACUUAGGGCAGGGGUAGGACAUUGAAGGCCUUAUUUACUCCAGGAUUAAAAACAGCAUCCCCUCUAACCCUGUCUCUCUUGGGCAGCCUGUCUUUUAAGGAUGUGAAAAGCAGCUUCUUGGAGUCUAAACAGGCACAAUACCCCACUGGGAUGUUUAGGUAUCAGGUUCACAAAAACAGCAUUUUACUCCUGCUUCCCCGAACCCCUUUGCAACCCAGGCUACCAUACUCUUUGCAAGAAUAUCCGGUAUCUUUUCCGGGCAAAAUGAAUUGAGUUGGCACUUCCUGAAAUAUUUUUAUUUUUAGCUUCAAAUAAUUUUGCUCCUAAAACAAAUUAGUUACUUAUCCUCUUCUCACCAUGCCCUAAUUAUUUUUAGCUUUAUUCUAAUUUUUUUUGUUACCUUGAAUUUUGUCUUGAUUUGAGAGUUUGGUAUAGAAUACUUGUUUGCAGACUGGUAAUCUGCAGUUUAUUUUGUUUUUAAAAAACUCUGUGAAGUUUACUGUUGUUUUAAAACUCAUGGAAUAUUAACAAAAAAUAACCUAAUAAUAUUCUUCGAGGCUUAAACUUUGGUUAUAGUCUAUGUCCUAGCCUAGCUUUUAUGAUAAGCCUGUUGCAUUUUAAAGGUGCUUAUUGAUUCACAUGUCUUUCAGUAAAAAAUCUUUUGAGGAACCCAGACUUUUGAAAGCUAUUUAAUUUGCAUGUAUUUGGUCAUUACAGGCUAAAACUGAAGAAUGAGUUUGGAAAUUGGUUCUAUUAGAAAACACUGUUUGCACAUCCAAAUGUUCCCAGUCAAGAUUUCCCAAUAGUGGCAGUGAGAAAGAGAGGCAGAGAGAAUUAGGAUACUUGGGUUCAAAUUUUAGCUUAGUCACUGAUGGGCUGAUUGAGUGAGAAGAACUUAAUCACCUGCAAAAUGAAUUGCUUACAGUAUUUUGAUCUCUAAAUACACUUUUGAUUCUGAUAUUUAAUGAUUUUGUAUUACAAAAUUGGGCAGAAAACGCAUAGCUUCAUAACAAGCAAAAAAUUUUACUGUUAACACAUCAUACUUAUUUUAGAGUAAAUUUGAAGGAGGUUGAUGUUUUGGAAUUUGGUUGGAGAGUUAUCCAAAAGCAAUGUUUCCCUGACUCAACUACAACCAAUUACACACAGUGGCCAGUAGGAAAAGGAUUAAGUUGUCCAGACAAAAUAUAAUGGUAACAAAAAAUAAUCUUGUGCUUUUGACAUCUUUCUGUUUACUUGUUUUUGUCUUGUUCUAAUGCCCCCUGAAUUACUAUUUUCUAAAAAACAGUCUCAUCUAAAAUAAAACAUAGUAAUGUGUUUUCAAAUGAGACAUUUUAUUGUAGUUACGAUUUCUUUUGUAUAUUUUCCUAAUGCAGACUACAAUAAAUACACUAAAAUAUUUCAAAUGGUUUGCUUGUGUAUAUGCUCUUAAGUCGUCUUUAUCCCACUUUGGGAAGCAUAUGCUGUGUUCUGAACAGUUUUAACUUUAUAUAUCAGCAUGACUAAGUCCUUUCAACAACUAUCACGCAAAGACCACGGAGAGCAG
rnacentral:lncRNA from 10 species